rnacentral:rRNA from 1 species
GACGAACCGUGCGAACGUUGUUCGGAAUCACUGGGCUUAAAGGGCGCGUAGGCGGCUAACCAAGUCAGGAGUGAAAUCUUUCGGCUCAACCGGAAAAGUGCUUUUGAUACUGGUUAGCUAGAGGGAGAUAGGGGCAUGUGGAACUUCCGGUGGAGCGGUGAAAUGCGUUGAUAUCGGAAGGAACGCCGGUGGCGAAAGCGACGGACUGGAUCUCUUCUGACGCUGAGGCGCGAAAGCCAGGGGAGCAAAGCGGG